rnacentral:rRNA from 1 species
ACAUGCAAGUCGAACGGAGCUGAGAGGAGCUUGCUUUUCUUAGCUUAGUGGCGAACGGGUGAGUAACGCGUGAGUAACCUGCCCUUCACAGGGGGAUAACCGGGAGAAAUUCCGACUAAUACCGCAUACGUCCUUUGGGGGCAUCCCCGGGGGAUGAAAGAGUUAUCGGUGAAGGAUGGGCAUGCGUGAUAUUAGGUAGUUGGCGGGGCAACGGCCCACCAAGCCUACGAUAUCUAGGGGUUCUGAGAGGAAGGUCCCCACAUUGGUACUGAGACACGGUCCAAACUCC